UACGUAGGGAGCAAGCGUUGUCCGGAAUCAUUGGGCGUAAAGCGCGCGUAGGCGGCCCCGUAAGUCCGCUGUGAAAGUCAAAGGCUCAACCUUUGAAAGCCGGUGGAUGCUGUGGGGCUAGAGUACGGAAGAGGCGAGUGGAAUUCCUGGUGUAGCGGUGGAAUGCGCAGAUAUCAGGAGGAACACCAAUAGCGAAGGCAGCUCGCUGGGACGUUACUGACGCUGAGGCGCGAAAGCGUGGGGAGCGAACAGG
rnacentral:rRNA from 1 species